rnacentral:rRNA from 1 species
CCCUUAGAUGUUCUGGGCCGCACGCGCGCUACACUGAUGCAUUCAACGAGCACCCGCUGGGCCGAGAGGUCCGGCUAAUCUUUGAACGUGCAUCGUGCUGGGGAUAGAUGAUUGCAAUUAUUCAUCUUCAACGAGGAAUUCCUAGUAAACGCAAGUCAUCAGCUUGCAUUGAUUACGUCCCUGCCCUUUGUACACACCGCCCGUCGCACCUAUCGAUUGAAUGGUCCGGUGAAAUUCUCGGACGCGGACUAGCGAUGUUAAUUCGGAGCUUGACUGUGAAAGUUAAUUAAACCUUACCAUUUAGAGGAAGGUGAAGUCGUAACA